rnacentral:rRNA from 1 species
GAUGAACGCAGGCGGCGUGCCUAAUACAUGCAAGUCGAGCGAACAGACGAGGAGCUUGCUCCUCUGACGUUAGCGGCGGACGGGUGAGUAACACGUGGAUAACCUACCUAUAAGACUGGGAUAACUUCGGGAAACCGGAGCUAAUACCGGAUAAUAUAUUGAACCGCAUGGUUCAAUAGUGAAAGACGGUUUUGCUGUCACUUAUAGAUGGAUCCGCGCCGCAUUAGCUAGUUGGUAAGGUAACGGCUUACCAAGGCAACGAUGCGUAGCCGACCUGAGAGGGUGAUCGGCCACACUGGAACUGAGACACGGUCCAGACUCCUACGGGAGGCAGCAGUAGGGAAUCUUCCGCAAUGGGCGAAAGCCUGACGGAGCAACGCCGCGUGAGUGAUGAAGGUCUUCGGAUCGUAAAACUCUGUUAUUAGGGAAGAACAAAUGUGUAAGUAACUAUGCACGUCUUGACGGUACCUAAUCAGAAAGCCACGGCUAACUACGU